rnacentral:rRNA from 1 species
UACGAAGGGUGCAAACGUUGCUCGGAAUUUAUUGGGCGUAAAGCGCACGUAGGCGGCUUAGCAAGUCGGAAGAUGAAAGCCCUCGGCUCAACCAAGGAAGUGCUUUCGAAACUGCUGAGCGUUAGAGUAGUUAAGGAGGAUCGCGGAAUUCCCGGUGUAGAGGUGAAAUUCGUAGAUAUCGGGAGGAACGACCAGUGGCGAAGGCGGAGCACGUCUGGACGGUACGUGACGCUGAGACGCGAAAGCGUGGGAGCGAACGA